UCCCUAGUAGCUCAGUUGGUAAAGAAUCUGCCUGCAAUGCAGGAGACACAGGUUUGAACCCUGGGUUGGGAA
rnacentral:tRNA from 1 species